GCUGCAUGUGCCCUGCAAGGGGACAUUAGGCCUGCUGCUGAGCUUAGGAGUCUCAAAUAGGGAAGAAAAAUUUAACAGGCGGCUGUUGUGAAAAGCCCUUGCCAGCAAUCUUGGGUGGCUAGACCAACGAUCUUUGUAUGAGUGCAGCAGAUUUAUAUCACGAAUAAGGAAAGGGCCAUAAGUAAAUGACAGCACCUGAUUUUCAUGUGGAUCGUCCCGAAUUCAGAGACACACACACACACAUCAACAUGUCCAUUUUGGGAUGUCAGGGCCGGUGAUGGGAAAAGAUGCUUCUCUGCCGGAAACCCUGGAAUCUUGGCCACCCAUUGGAGUAGACAGUCGUGGCCCGGAUGCAGAAAUGGUUUGAUUGGGUCUGGUUUACCUUCCAACAUUUCUGUGAGUUUCACACGGCAGAUGACCAUGGGAAGUCAGGAGAGGAGAAAUCUCAGAGAAGCCUGAGGGCACAGAAAUGCUGUUCUAGAAUGAGGGUGUCACAAUGCUGAAUUUCAGCUCCCGGGUGCCUGGGUGGCCGUGGAUUUCAGACGUUUGCUCCUUCCGGCGAGGACUCAAAUGUCCUGCUGUCUGGAGUGAACAAGCUCCUGAUGGAGAAGAAAAGCCGGAAGCCUCUGCGUUAUCCCCCCAUGAGCAAGAGGCUCACGUCAACAUGGAGAGAGGAAGAGGCUUCUCUGCAGAGGCGGCAACGGACGGCCAAGCAGGGCCUGGUGGGGAAGGUGGCUAGCUCCUACGCUGAGCUCUUUCAGAGGGAUCUCACCAGCACCUUGGCAGCCACCGGGCCUCACCCACGGUUUUUGGAACCUCCUCCAUCCUUCACCACCACCCAGUCCUCUGAAAGUUCGCUCAGCCCAGAUUCUGGUGCUCCAGACCGAAGCUCCAAGGAAUCUUAUGCAACAACUCGUCUUUCACUCUCCUCCUCUCUGGGAGCAUUUUCGUCCCGCAGAUCGUCUUCCCGGACACCCGUGGGCCCCUCGGUUCUGUCAGCUGAUGAAACAGAGGAUGAUCAAGGAGGCAGGAAAGAGCCAGACCGCCCUCCCGAGACCAAGGAGAAGAAGACUCCGAAGCACAAACCAGCUUCCCCGCACGUACCCCAAGUCGUCGUCCGCCCGGGCUCCGACACCAAGCCCGUCCUCCCGCCCAUCCCGUCAGGCCGGAAGAGACCCAAACCCCAGCCCUCUGAAAGCUUCCUUCCAGCCAUGAUACCGAACCCUUGGCCUUAGCCCUCCAAUCUCUCAAUCUCUCUCUCUCUGUCUCUGUUUCCUCUUUUCAAUGAGAAAUGGGUGGAGGCAAGUGCCUGUAAAUAGCUUAGACUGCUAACCUUCCCUGCCGUGUAGGCCACCAGGAAGGGCUCUUGAGGCAAAGAGGCCGUCCCAAUUAAGGUGUUGGCUUCUUUGGGGGGGGUAGGCGGGCACCUCUUUUCUAACAUGGCGUUCCUCUCGGGACCCUUGCCAGUGAAUGGGGGUCCAGUUUUUGUAACUUAACUUGUUACUUAAAUAUAUUCUCAGUUUCCUGACAGUUUGCAAAGCCCCUUUGGAAACAGGAAGAAUUUUUCUUCAGGCGUCACUUUUAUAGCCCCCCCCCCAAUACCAUCUGUACCACAAAGUGGAGGGCUAAUAUUCAAGCGACGGCAAGGUUACUUAGGGCUUGAUUCCCCCUCCUCCCCCGUAAGUGACAAAGUAGCCUAUUUUUGCACUCUAAAAUAAAUUAAGUGUGCCAUGUGACUACUGCA
rnacentral:lncRNA from 1 species